GAUGAACGCUGGCGGCGUGCCUAAUACAUGCAAGUCGAGCGAACGGACGAGAAGCUUGCUUCUCUGAUGUUAGCGGCGGACGGGUGAGUAACACGUGGAUAACCUACCUAUAAGACUGGGAUAACUUCGGGAAACCGUAGCUAAUACCGGAUAAUAUUUUGAACCGCAUGGUUCAAAAGUGAAAGACGGUCUUGCUGUCACUUAUAGAUGGAUCCGCGCUGCAUUAGCUAGUUGGUAAGGUAACGGCUUACCAAGGCAACGAUGCAUAGCCGACCUGAGAGGGGAAUCGGCCACGCUAGAACGAACACCGGGCCCACACUCCUACGGGGGACCACGAUAGGAAAUCUUCCACAAGGGGCGAAAGCCUGAGGGAGCACCGCCGCGUGGGUAAAGAAGGUCUUGGGAUGGUAAACCUCUUUUUUUGGGGAAAAAAAUAUGUUUAAGUAACGGUGCACAUCUUGGCGGACCCUAAACGGAAAGCCACGGCUAACUACA
rnacentral:rRNA from 1 species